rnacentral:rRNA from 1 species
GACGAACGCUGGCGGCGUGCUUAACACAUGCAAGUGGAGCGACGAACCAGGGCUUGCCCUGGGGCAGAGCCGCGAACGGGUGAGUAACACGUGGGUAACGUGCCCCGAUGAUCGGGACAACCCGGGGAAACCCGGGCUAAUACCGAAUGUGCUCCCCUCACACCAGUGAGGGAUGGAAAGGAAGCUUCGGCCUCCGCAUCGGGAUCGGCCCGCGGCCCAUUAGCUUGUUGGUGAGGUAACGGCUCACCAAGGCUGCGAUGGGUAGCUGGUCUGAGAGGACGAUCAGCCACACUGGGACUGAGACACGGCCAGACUCCUACGGGAGGCAGCAGUGGGGAAUCUUGCGCAAUGCGCGAAAGCGUGACGCAGCAACGCCGCGUGGGGGAAGAC